rnacentral:rRNA from 1 species
CCUACGGGUGGCAGCAGUGGGGAAUAUUGCGCAAUGGGCGAAAGCCUGACGCAGCGACGCCGCGUGAGGGAUGAAGGUCUUCGGAUCGUAAACCUCUUUCAGCAGGGAAGAACGGUCACUGUGCUAAUCCUCCGUGCAUUGACGUUACCUGCAAAGGAAGCACCGGCUAACUCCGUGCCAGCAGCCGCGGUAAUACGGAGGGUGCGAGCGUUAAUCGGAAUUACUGGGCGUAAAGCGCUCGUAGGCGGUAUGUCAAGUCAGGGGUGAAAUCCCCGCGCUCAACUUGGGAACUGCAUUUGAAACUGGCAAACUGGAGUGUGGGAGAGGAUAGUGGAAUUCCAGGUGUAGGAGUGAAAUCCGUAGAUAUCUGGAGGAACAUCAGUGGCGAAGGCGACUAGCUGGAACAUAACUGACGCUGAGGAGCGAAAGCGUGGGUAGCAAACAGGAUUAGAUACCCGUGUAGUC